GACGAACGCUGGCGGCGUGCUUAACACAUGCAAGUCGAACGGAGUGGCGAACGGGUGAGUAACACGUGGGUGAUCUGCCUUGCACUUCGGGAUAAGCUUGGGAAACUGGGUGUAAUACCGGAUAGUGCAAGAUGAGCUCGCGGCCUAUCGGCUUGUUGGUGGGGUAAUGGCCUACCAAGGCGUCGACGGGUAGCCGGCCUGGGAGGGUGUACGGCCCCAGUGGGACUGAGGUACGGCCCAGACGCCUACGGGAGGCAGCAGUGGAGAAUGUUGCACAAUGGGGGGAAGCCUGAUGCAGCGGCGGCGCGUGGGGGAUGAAGGCCUUCGGGUUGUAAACUCCUUUCGACAGGGAGGCGGUACCUGUAUAAGAAGCACCGGCUAACUACGUGCCAGCAGCCGCGGUAAUAC
rnacentral:rRNA from 1 species